GCAAAUCCGGAACAAAGCAUCCUUUCCGAUGAUGAGUCCAGCUUUGAUGAAGCAGCUGACAGCAGCACACAACAAACAACAGUCCAAGAAACUUUCAACAGACGAGGACAUCAAGGAAGAGACCACGAGGGAACUCUGGUUAUGCAGACUUGGGCCACCGAACAGCAAUCCUUCUACCAGAAGAUGCAAGAGUCCCAGAACAAAUGGAUAGAAGAACAACAGGAACGAUGGCAGCAAAGAGAAGAAAGGUUGUUUGUAAGGUUCUUAGAAGAAAACACACUCUCAACUGAGCGCCUAGUGAGGCAAUGUUUUGAUGGAUUAAAGUCCAUCAUGACUCAAAUGACCCCACCUCCACAGGGAAGAUCUCCAGUUCCUCCCUACCCUCAGCAUCAAUACCCAGGUCAAAGCCGGUCUGCUCAAUUUCCUCAGAACCCAAGCUACAACUCGGAUUACCACCUCCAUGACCUAAACUAAAGUUAAAAAAAAGUUUGUUAUUUGAGCAG